rnacentral:rRNA from 1 species
GAUGAACGCUGGCGGCGUGCCUAAUACAUGCAAGUCGAGCGAACGGACGAGAAGCUUGCUUCUCUGAUGUUAGCGGCGGACGGGUGAGUAACACGUGGAUAACCUACCUAUAAGACUGGGAUAACUUCGGGAAACCGGAGCUAAUACCGGAUAAUAUUUUGAACCGCAUGGUUCAAAAGUAAAAGACGGUCUUGCUGUCACUUAUAGAUGGAUCCGCGCUGCAUUAGCUAGUUGGUAAGGUAACGGCUUACCAAGGCAACGAUGCAUAGCCGACCUGAGAGGGUGAUCGGCCACACUGGAACUGGGACACGGUCCAGACUCCUACGGGAGGCAGCAGUAGGGAAUCUUCCGCAAUGGGCGAAAGCCUGACGGAGCAACGCCGCGUGAGUGAUGAAGGUCUUCGGAUCGUAAAACGCUGUUAGUAGGGAAGAACAUAUGUGUAAGUAACUGUGCACAUCUUGACGGUACCGAAUCAGAAAGCCACGGCUAACUACGUG